rnacentral:rRNA from 1 species
AUUGAACGCUGGCGGCAUGCCUUACACAUGCAAGUCGAACGGCAGCACGGGUACUUGUACCUGGUGGCGAGUGGCGAACGGGUGAGUAAUACAUCGGAACGUACCUUAUCGUGGGGGAUAACGCAGCGAAAGCUGUGCUAAUACCGCAUACGCCCUGAGGGGGAAAGCGGGGGAUCGAAAGACCUCGCGCGAUUAGAGCGGCCGAUGCCUGAUUAGCUUGUUGGUGGGGUAAAAGCCCACCAAGGCGACGAUCAGUAGCUGGUCUGAGAGGACGAUCAGCCACACUGGGACUGAGACACGGCCCAGACUCCUACGGGAGGCAGCAGUGGGGAAUUUUGGGACAAUGGGGGAAACCCUGAUCCAGCAAUGCCGCGUGAGUGAAGAAGGCCUCGGUUGUAAAGCUCUUUGUC